rnacentral:lncRNA from 1 species
UUCAGACCUGGAGAAAAGAUCCGAAGCAAUUUUAAAUUAAGACUAUAUUCCCAGACCUGUCAACACUAUAGUAUGAAUCACGGAACUGAGUACUUUCAUUAUUACUCACCAAACUUGCAAGUGUGUCUGCUGACAUCUCCGUGCUCAAUCUGCUGGACUAUUGAUGUGAGCACUGCUGUGCUCCAGAGGAGUUCUUAGCAUGUCCCAGUGAUGUUCAAAAUGUAACCCGAUUGCAAGGGUUCAUGAGGAAACCAAGGAUUGCCCGGCCAGGCUCAAGUCUUCCUCAUCCUUCUUCCUUCUGCCAUCUUUUGAGAAUGGUCACCGUAAGUGGCAUGAUUUGGUAACCGGAGGUCCUGAGCACAAAGGUUCUCAAACCUGAACAGAUAUCGGAACCACCCACCUGGAGGGCUGGGCACACUGAUUGUUUCCCGAGUUUCUAACUGAAUUCCCAAGAUUAACUGGCGUUCUGUAGGUCGGCACAAAGUCGUGGCUUUGCCAUCUGACGGAGGACGCGCAGCGGUCGUCUCUGGCUGGGUAGACUGAGACCUGAACGCUGAGGGACUUAGGACCAGCAGUGCCGUCCAGGCCUGGCUGCAGACGGAAACUACUUCAAGAUAAGCUCCACCAAAAAUAGAGAGGAAAUCAAGAAGAUUAAGACGCAGGAUCCAGCGCAACGCUCCAGCACAGGAGAGACCAAAAGAACGUUUGACAAUCCACUGACUUCCUAGAAAACAGAAGAGUGGGCUGGGCAUGGUGGCUCACGCCUGUAAUCCCAGCACUCUGGGAGGCUGAGGUGGGUGGAUUACCUGAGAUCA